rnacentral:tRNA from 1 species
GGGGUUGUGGCUCAAUGGUAGAGUGCUUGCCUCACAUGUAUGAGGCACUGGGUUCAAUUCUCAGUACCACA